rnacentral:rRNA from 1 species
AGUGAACGCUGGCGGUAGGCCUAACACAUGCAAGUCGAACGGCAGCACAGUAAGAGCUUGCUCUUACGGGUGGCGAGUGGCGGACGGGUGAGGAAUACAUCGGAAUCUACUUUUUCGUGGGGGAUAACGUAGGGAAACUUACGCUAAUACCGCAUACGACCUACGGGUGAAAGCAGGGGAUCUUCGGACCUUGCGCGAUUGAAUGAGCCGAUGUCGGAUUAGCUAGUUGGCGGGGUAAAGGCCCACCAAGGCGACGAUCCGUAGCUGGUCUGAGAGGAUGAACAGCCACAGUGGAACUGAGGGACGGACAGGAGUCCGACGGGAGGCGGCAGUGGGGGAUAUUGGACAAGGGGCGCAAGACUGAUCCAGCUAUAGCGAGAAGGUGAAGAAGGCCUUCGGGUUCUAAGGCCCUUUUGUUGUGAAAAAAAAGCAGCAGGUUAAUACCCCGCUGUUCGGACGGUACCCAAAGAAUAAGAACCGGCGAACUUGGGG